rnacentral:rRNA from 1 species
ACUCCUACGGGAGGCAGCAGUGGGAAUAUUGGACAAUGGGGGAACCCGUAGCAUCCAGCCAUGCCGCGUGUGUGAAGAAGGCCUUCGGGUUGUAAAGCACUUUCAGUGGGGAAGAAAGGCUUAAGGUGAAUACCCUUAAGAGUGACGUUACCCACAGAAGAAGCACUGGCUAACUCUGUGCCAGCAGCCGCGGUAAUACAGAGAGUGCAAGCGUUAAUCGGAAUUACUGGGCGUAAAGCGCGCGUAGGUGGAUAACUAAGUCGGAUGUGAAAGCCCUGGGCUUAACCUAGGAAUUGCACCCGAUACUGGUUAUCUAGAGUAUGGUAGAGGGAAGUGGAAUUUCCGGUGUAGCGGUGAAAUGCGUAGAUAUCGGAAAGAACACCAGUGGCGAAGGCGGCUUCCUGGACCAAUACUGACACUGAGGUGCGAAGCGUGGGGAGCAAACAGGAUUAGAUACCCUGGUAGGCUCUGCU